AGAGGAGGCCUCGGAGAGGCCAAGAGCUGAUGCCACCUGACCAGAGGUGACCCGAGGUUUAAAACGGUUCUGAUCUGGGUGUGUCUUCACCGGGUCCCCCAGGGUGCUGGAAGCUUGGUCAGUGUGGUGGUUUGGGAAAGUGGUGGGAACUUUUUAAGGCGGGGCCUAGUGGGAGGCAGUUAGGUCUUUGGGGAGUCACUCUUGAGAGAGAGAUUAAUGGAGUUCUCGCAAGAUCCUGAUUAGUUUCUGCAAGAGUUAGUUAUUAAAAGAGCAAGACUCUCCCUGAAUCCCUGUCACCUCCUCCACAUGUGCUCCCACCAUUGUGAUGCCAUCCGGAUUGGCAGCUGGACAGAUGGGGCUGCUCAAUCUUGGGCUUUCAGCCUCCAGAACGGUGAGCUACGUAAACCUCUUUUCUCUAUAAAGUAUCCAGCCUCAGACAUUUUGAAAUAGCAACAGAAAAUGGACAAAUACAUAACUAAGUCCUUCCACUGCAGCCCAACUGCCCGUUUUAGACACGACCUGCCCUGUGUUCUUCAAAGUGCCUGAUAGAGCAUCGCGUGCACAUGACAGGGCCCUGCAAGGACGAAGGGACCUUGAGAAGGUCCUGCAUGCAGGGGGCUUGGCUGGGAUAUAGAAAUCACAGGCAGGUUCAUUUGGCAUUUCCCCUCAUGCUUCAGAAAGGACACUCAAAAAAAAGAAAAAAACGCACUAGGAUUUCUGCAGUUUUCUUUGUUGCUCUUGUUGGAGUCUCUGGCUUUUAGAAAACUAGGUUAGAACAUGUUGGAGAAAGCUUUCUUCCCUGGCUUAUUCCCUGUUGCCUUUCUCUUGCCAACGCCGUCCUUAAUAGGCCGAGAGCAGCCUGGUGUUUCUGGAGGGCCGCCUGGGCUCCCCCGCCCACCUCCUCCAGCUGCUGCCUCUGCCGGGCUCCUGCUCCUGGCGGUCCUGAUGGAUGUCAAGGACUUUUCUGCAACACAGUGUUCAGUCCUGGGUCGGCCUGGAUGGCGCUGCUAGGAAAUCCUUCCACUCUUUGUUCAUCAAACACACACCCCGUUCUCUCUCCAUUUUAUCUCGUCUUCCGCUCCAGGACAUUCUGACUUUCAAAAAUUAACAAGAGAGGAAGAAGAAGGAGGAGAGGAGAAGAGGAGGAGGAGAAGGAAAGACAGACAAAUAGGAAAGAUGUCAACGAAUAGGAGAGCUACCUCUGGAAUUUGGCCAUAGGCUCAUAAACUUGGGGCCCAAGACUAACAUGAUACAAUUUAACACAGAACAAAAAUUGAGCCGGCUGCAUGAGCAUUUCCUCGGGUUGCUGGUCUACCAUCAGUGGGCCAACCCUGCUAAGCUUCAAGAAAGGCCCGGUCUUGUAAGAGGCUUAUUAUACACAAAAGUAUGUCUCUGAUUUUCCUGCAAAGCCAGGACAAAGUUUCCCAGAAGAGCCGGUAGAUUUCUGCACUCACCUCUCUCACAUUCACUGAAUUCAGGGACGUGAUGGAUUCUUUUUCCUCCCCGAAAUGUGCAGCUGUAAGGACAGUGGAGCUAAGAGUCAGUUGCUUUGAGUUUCAAAAUUAAGAAAGUGAAGGCACCAGCCUGGAUAACUUCUGUGACAUGUGCCGCAGGAAUCUGUAUGUCCUGGACUUUCCAGAAUAAUUCCAAUUUCCAAUUUCAACAAUUCCAAUUGUCAGGUCACCAGUUGUGGUUGUUGGCUUCCAAAAUAUGGCCACCUUGAUUAUAGGUGAGCCUGUGCAAUGGAGGGUCACUGAAGUCACCAAUUUUUCUUGGAUGGUGUCAAACACAACUGAGCCCCACCAAACUGUGCUCCGUGAGUCAGUCAUAUUAUUGAGAUGAUACAGUGCAGUUACCAGGUGGUUCUGCGAAUAAUUAGGAACACAUUUCUAUAUUUCAGAGGACCAAGGCAAGGAAAACAUCACCAGGAAAAUUUUACAUGUGGGGACAAUUAUUCAACAGGCCUUUGGCUGGGAUUUGUGGAUAGGAACAUAAUUCAGAGGCAAAAAUGAAAUACUGGAGUAAUACAUGGAGAUUUCUUUUAUUGAAGCAGAAUUACAGAACACAGGAAUUAGCAUUCAGCCAAGUCUUGAUUAUUCAAGGAAUAAUGACCCCUCUGUAGAUUACCAAGCCUUCUCCUGUCCCUUCUCCUUCCCAUAAUCUAAUAUUUCUCAAGUUUGGGUAAUAUAUUUGGAAAUUAAAAAUUUACAAUUCCUAAAAAAAUAAGAAAUAAAAUUCUUAAAAGGUCA